rnacentral:sRNA from 1 species
UCUAUUGUAAAAGAAGCAAACGCAAAAUCAAAAUGAAUUUCUUGAACAUUUUCGUUUUUAUUGCCGUUGUAUUGGCCCUAUUCACUGCCCCAAUCGAUGCCAGAAGGAAGGGCGGCAAACCAAGAAACACCGACAAAUAUUGGAGAGCAGGGUCCCAUGUUGCCGGAAAGGCCGUUGAAGGAGUAGCUGCUGCAGCAGUCCAACAAGCUGGUUAGUUAUCACAUAUAUUUCAGCAGAAGGAUCCGGUGCUGCGGUAAUCUGUCAGGUGCUGCGGCAAUCUAUCAGGUUGCUUACUUACAUUUCUGUAGAUAACUCGACUUGGUGGCCACACAAUGUGGGCAUAUAAAAUGAAUGCAUGAAAAUUAAA